rnacentral:antisense_RNA from 1 species
CUUCACGGACCCGAGCCGCAGCGGGCGGUCGCGGUCCUGCCCGUAGGUGGCCAGCAGCGCCUGCGCCUC